rnacentral:rRNA from 1 species
UGCGUAGGUGGCAAGCGUUGUCCGGAAUUAUUGGGCGUAAAGCGCGCGCAGGCGGUCCUUUAAGUCUGGUGUGAAAGCCCACGGCUCAACCGUGGAGGGUCAUUGGAAACUGGGGGACUUGAGUGCAGAAGAGGAAAGUGGAAUUCCACGUGUAGCGGUGAAAUGCGUAGAGAUGUGGAGGAACACCAGUGGCGAAGGCGAGUCUCUGGACAUUUCCUGACGCUGAGGCACGAAAGCCAGGGGAGCAAACGGG